rnacentral:rRNA from 1 species
ACGGGAGGCAGCAGUGGGGAAUAUUGCACAAUGGGGGAAACCCUGAUGCAGCGACGCCGCGUGAGCGAAGAAGUAUUUCGGUAUGUAAAGCUCUAUCAGCAGGGAAGAAAAUGACGGUACCUGACUAAGAAGCUCCGGCUAAAUACGUGCCAGCAGCCGCGGUAAUACGUAUGGAGCAAGCGUUAUCCGGAUUUACUGGGUGUAAAGGGAGCGCAGGCGGUGUGGCAAGUCUGAAGUGAAAGCCCGUGGCUCAACCGCGGGACUGCUUUGGAAACUGUCAUACUAGAGUAUCAGAGGGGCAAGUGGAAUUCCUAGUGUAGCGGUGAAAUGCGUAGAUAUUAGGAGGAACACCAGUGGCGAAGGCGGCUUGCUGGAUGAUAACUGACGCUGAGGCUCGAAAGCGUGGGGAGCAAACAGGAUUAGAUACCCUGGUA